GAAAAAAAAAAGUGAUUGAAGUAAAUUAUAUACACAGAAAAAGAAAAUAUACAAAAUAUGUUUAAAGAGGAUCAUAAUAUUUUUUUUUCUUUCUUUCUAAUCUUUAGCUGCAACAACAUUCUUUUGGUUCUUUAGUUUCUGUAUCCCCCUUUUCUGGUGUGGUCCUUGAGAAAACAUACAAAAAAUAAUGAUUUAUCAACUUUGGCGUUUUAUUCAGCAAUUGCACCAUUCUUGUGCUUCACAUUCAAACACUGGAAUUAUUGCACUUCCAAGCAACCACGCCGCGGCUGCUAGCACUGUUGAACAAAUGCAAACACGAAAUUUAGAAGCCAGAAGAACAUAUUGAAGGUAAUAACAACUUGGUACUACAAACACAUUCUUUGACAUGCUAUGAUACUUGAAUUUCUAAAACAACAGUGUACCAUAUAUGUGUGAACUUUUUUUCAUCUGUUCUACUCUUUUUGAUUAUGUGUUAUAAACCACUGAAGUCUAGCAACAUCGAACAUCCUCUUCCCUUUAUGUAAAAGCUGAUUGUAAGCUUAAAAGAGAAGGUUACGCCACAAUCACUAUGAAUUCCUUUUGGUAAUUAACUAACUGCAUGACCAGCUUAAAGACAUGCAGUUAACAAAGCAUAAACAGUACUUGAAUUUAACUCUCGGACGACUAAAAACAAGAUUUUAAGAUACAAGGUCCAAUGCAAUUGACGAAUCGUAGAGUGAACUGACAGAAGUUCCGUCUGCGACGUUUUUAACACGAUAUGCAAUUAAAACCUUGUUAUCUUUGAUAAUUGUGAAAAGACUUAUAAAUGCUAGAUUGUGAAUUUGAACUUCUGCAAGGAAAGAGGUAGAGCCAAACCUCAAAGAUGAGUCAUUCACAAGCAAUUUUAGUGUCAAAGCUGCUAAGGCAUAUGGCGAAUGCCUGGAAUGCUGAUAGUGGGUAGCGGUAAUCCAUUGUAAACAUGUCCUUCCCUACUUUACCGAAUUGCAAAAUAACCUUCUCAUGUUCUGGUCCAGCCGCACCAUUCUCUGGAGAAGCUACCAACUGAAAGUUCUUCACCGAGGCGACGGUUACCCGACCAUGAAAGUUCAAACACCAGCAUUGGAGCUGUUCAUGCCAUCUGGGAGCCUUAUUUUUCAGAACCAGUGAACCUUCUCUUUGAGUU
rnacentral:lncRNA from 1 species